UGGGGAAUUUUGGACAAUGGGGGCAACCCUGAUCCAGCCAUGCCGCGUGCGGGAAGAAGGCCUUCGGGUUGUAAACCGCUUUUGUUCGGGAAGAAAAGGCUGAGGUUAAUACCCUUGGUCCUUGACGGUACCGGGAGAAUAAGCACCGGCUAACUACGUGCCAGCAGCCGCGGUAAUACGUAGGGUGCGAGCGUUAAUCGGAAUUACUGGGCGUAAAGCGUGCGCAGGCGGUUGGUUAAGUCUGAUGUGAAAGCCCCGGGCUCAACCUGGGAAUGGCAUUGGAAACUGGCUAGCUAGAGUGUGGCAGAGGGGGGUGGAACUCCGCGUGUAGCAGUGAAAUGCGUAGAGAUGCGGAAGAACACCGAUGGCGAAGGCAGCCCCCUGGGCUAGCACUGACGCUCAGGCACGAAAGCGUGGGGAGCAAACA
rnacentral:rRNA from 1 species